AGGAAAGUGGCUGGAGUUGGCGUGGCGAAGGAUUAUGAUCCUACCUUUGUCUUUUUGCACAUCCAUUCUUAUCCUACUCCUCAGGUUUGAAGUGGCUGUUGCUAUUCUGGUAUCACUCCUCUACCCUGGGUAGAAACUAAGCAACAGCCCUUCAUCUGAUUGGCAGAUGUAUCUGUGCAGUCUUGUGGAAGAUUUCCACUAGGCACCAUGGGCUGAAGCAGCUAGAAAGAUAAGGGCCAGUGUAGACACAUAGAUUCUAUACCAGGGCAGGGAUUGAGUAGAUAGAUCUCAGUGCUCGGCUGUGCAGUUUUGAUGCCAGGACUGCUAACCAUGAGCCCUUCAUAGAUAAGGAUUGCACAUUGCCUGACUUACCCAGUAGAGCAGGCAGCUAGCAAACACUUCAGGACAAAAUACCCACACUCCUGUGCACUCAGAAGACACUAGUGCAAUGCAUGGCAGCAGAUCCAACUUGUGCCCCAUAACUCUCAAUGGCUAGAAGGACACUUGAGGGAAACAGCUUCUUUCCCUAAAGCUUGAAAGGCAGCUCUUCCCCGGGAGAGGAUACUCUGGGUUGAUUAGGCUGCAGAUCAACUACAAAUGCCUUAGUCCUGGCUGGCAUUGAAGAGCGUGCUGAGCACUUCACUGAUGGUCAUUCACGUUCUGACCUGUUGGUUGGCAAAAGAUCUUGGCUGGGACUCCUCCAGUAUGUUUCACAGCCCUAAUGGUCACUAGUUCUCAGAAGCCUUUGCUAAUGUUGCACACUUCAGAAUUAGCUGUGACAGGCCGUCUAGUACUGGAGGUUAAUGGUAGGAGGAACAGAAGCUUCAGAACGGCGGGGGGUGGGGGGAGGGUCAAGUCCAUGCUGCCUGAUGCUAACUAGCCUGGCAAAGCUCAACCCAAACUGGAAGUGACAUCAAGAGAGAAGAGGCAGCUUUGUGGGAUCCUCCCCGGCUCCUCUCCUACCUCUUCUUUGGCUCCCUUCUGUCUACUUGCAUAAGAUGGCUGGAAAGGAGUAAAAACCCUGCUCUGCAAAACCCCAUGGUCAGAGAUUUCCCUCUAUUAGCCAAGGACUUCUUUGAGACGCCUGUGUGCCUGAAAGCUCCCUGGAGGAAGGAGACUCUGGCUGGGGAACAGUAAAGUACCUGUUUGGUUUCACCAGAUCUCCAUAGCCAUCCCAACAUGCUUUUGCUCCACAUAAUUUAGUUUUCUAGUGUUAUCUUCAUUUAUCAGGCAGUGGUCUUAAUACCAGUGGCACUGCUAAGCCACUCUUCCUAUCCCCUGAAUUAGGACAGUCACAGUUGUUCUCUAUCUCUAAGAUCCUGGAGCCUCAUAUUUCAUUUUUGCAGAGCCAUUAGCUCAGCAGUCCAUGGUUCUAUGGGAAGAGAGGUAGACUCUGAGGUCAGAGGCACUCAGCUCGUGCUCAGUGUUGAGUACUUUUGCUGGGUAUUGCUACUGGGAGUUGGUGUCUGGUGGUAGACUCAGAGGUGGAGGACUAGGCAGGCAGGCUCUGAGGAAGGCUGUAGCUCUGAUGUCUGCAACAGCUGUUCUUGGUCUUUCUCUCAGACUGACAUUUCUGAGGUGGCUGCACCUAAUGGAAAUGCCAAGAUCUCUGCUAAGCUGUAUGGAGGGUCUCCCAAGCCUUUUCCUUGGGUCCUACUUCUCUAUUCCUGACUGUUGUCUCCCUCGGUAGAGAACAACAGUGCUGUCAUUUCUAGUCCUUUGAGGUUGGUUGUUGGGGAAAGCACAUGAAAGAGGCAAUGGACUGGAUCCGUCCUAGUGACUGGCAAAAUGACUGAGCAGAGGGCCAGGAUUACAAUCACAUUCGAGACUAGCAGCUGGGCCAUCUGUCACAGAGCCUGACUCUUUGAAAUUACUAAUUGGUGACUUCAUCUAAUUUCUGUUUCCACUCUUUUUGUCCUUUCCUAAAAGCCAAGAUGAGAUACAGUUGUCUGCCUGACACUUUGUUCCGUAUAGGAAAGGAUGGCAGUACCUAUAGAAGGCCUCCCCAGCCUCUCCAAAGGAUAUGGCAGUAAGGCAACCAUUUGAGCUACAGUCAGCAUAGAAAGGCUUGUAGAACCAGAAGGGGGAUAGGGCAAAGGAGCAGGCUUUGAUGUCUCAGGUCCAAAAUCGUCAGAGACUGAGUUAGUAUGUUUAUGUUAUGCCCUUGGAGCCAUAAAGAACCAGGUCAAGGCAAAAUCCGGCUCAUAGAUACCUUUCCAAGAUCGUUUUGUCUCCCUGAAUUAAAGACAUGGCAUGGUGGGAUUAGGGGCUUUAGUACUCAAGAGAGACAUGGAAUGGGUCUACACAAACAAGAAUAAGCAGAAAGCUAACUUUCUGUGACAUCAAAACACUAUGCAUCCCCAGUGGACUGAGAGGUAGGAGUUGGGGACAUGUGUUCAGCAAACAUCUCAGGCAGCAUACUGAGGAGUCUGGGCUCUAGAAAGAAUUUCUUUCCUUGACUAGAAAGUAUACAGAAUUCUAGCUUGCCAGGUUCCGAAUGUGCUACCUCCUCUACCCUCCACAGGAGUGCAGACAAGUGUGUCUGAUGAAUGGAUAUUCCCAGAAAGAAGCCAAGAGAAAGGGGGAGCUGCACUGUGGGUUGGAACUCAUCAGGAAUUGCAGUGGCUAGAGGCAGAGGGGACACCUAGUAUAGCAUCCCCAGCUUGAGGUGGUUAGAAUAUGGAGAUAAAUGACUCUCCUGAUUUGGUUUCUGUCACUGUGAUAAACACAAUGACUAAAAACAGCUUAGAGAGGAGAGGGUUUAUUUCAGAUUACAGUUUAUAGUCCAGCAUUAAGGGAAAUCAGGACAGAAACUCAAGCAGGAACUCAAAGGCAGGAACUGAAGGAGAGACCCUUCUUACCAGCUUGCUCUCCGUGGCUUGCUCAGCUUGUUUUCUUAUAAAACUCAGUACCAUCUCUCUGUCAGGGUUGUCAUAACCUACAGUACCUUCUUCAGCCCUCCUGUAUCAACCAUUAGUCAAGAAAAUGCCUAUUAGAGACAGACUUACUUCAGCAAGCCUGAUGGAAGCAGCUCCUGAAUUGAAGUUCUUGCUUCCCAGGUAAGUAAUUCAUGUCAAGUUGACAAAAACUAAAACCAGCACAAGGUGUUUCUUCUUAAUUUUAAAACUCCAAUGGAUAAUAUAAAAUCAUGCCAAACACUCUCUAGUUUUUGCCUAGAAUUCUUUGACUUUUUUUUUCUUGUAUUUAUCAGAUGCCAUUGUGUGGCUGGACUGUCAUUCCUGUGGCUUUAUUUGAAAAAACUCCAGCCAAGGACAAUAGCAAUAGGCAUGCCAAAAUGGAUGGGGCAAAGAUGGCCAGGCUUCAACCUUUCAGGCAACUAAGAGAUGCUGAGACUGGGAGAAUUAGUCUUCUUCAUAGAAGAGCACACCUACUGGCUGUCUAAUACCAAAUGGUCAGCCAUGAGAACAUACAUACAAAUAGCAUCGUACGAACUGAACAGGUUAUAUUUAGGAAAUACAUGUAUAUAUACAUGCAUAUGUGCAUAUAUCAACAAUUUUUUAAAAGGAGGCCAUGAAUUUGAAAAAGAGCAGCAAAAAGGGGUCUAUGGGAGGGUUUGGAGGGAGGGAAAGGAAAGGAGAAAUAGUAUAAUUAUAUUAUAAUGUCAAAAAUAAAAGAAAUAAUAAAAAUCAAACAACAAAACCCAAUAAAUAUAUGAAUUAAAAAACCCCUGGAGCCAGCUUUGCUGCUGUUCAGUCAGGGCCUGUUCUCUAUGGCAGUGCCAGCACCCAGUUAGUUAGUUAUUUAAUGUGUCAUCAUGGUAGUGUAGGGCAUGACCUUUAUCACCUUAACUUUUAGAGGUACUUCCUUGAGGUUUCACUAUUUAACAUUAAUACGAAGACUAAAUCUUUUUAAAUAUCUGCUGCAUACCUGGAAGCAGAGUAGGAAGAUUGCUACAGGCCGGCCUGAUCCACACAGCAGAUUUCACUCCAUUCAGGGCUACAGUGAGAGACCCUGUCUCAAAG
rnacentral:lncRNA from 1 species